rnacentral:rRNA from 1 species
UUAAAGAGUUCUAUAACUCCCAAACCCAUGUGAACAUACCUAACGUUGCCUCGGCAGGUCGCACCUACCUUGUAGCACCCUACCCUGUAGGGCCUACCCGGGAGGUGCGGGUAAGCCUGCCGGCGGCCCACCAAACUCUGUUUGAUAUUGAAUUCUGAACCUAUAACUAAAUAAGUUAAAACUUUCAACAACGGAUCUCUUGGUUCUGGCAUCGAUGAAGAACGCAGCGAAAUGCGAUAAGUAAUGUGAAUUGCAGAAUUCAGUGAAUCAUCGAAUCUUUGAACGCAUAUUGCGCCCAUUAGUAUUCUAGUGGGCAGGACCGUUCGAGCGUCAUUUCAACCCUUAAGCCUUCGUUGCUUAGUGUUGGGAGCCUACGGCAACGUAGCUCCUCAAAGUUAGUGGCGGAGUUGGUUCACACUCUAGACGUAGUAAUUUUUUAUCUCGCCUAUUAGUUGGACUAAUCCCCUGCCGUAAAACCCCCAAUUUAUCAAGGUUGACCUCGAAUCGGUUCAGACAAACUCGCUAAAUUGAAGCAUCUUAGUCAGCGAAGGAAAAGAAACCAACAGGGAUUGCCCUAGUAACGGCGAGUGAAGC